UACAGAGGGGGCAAGCGUUGUUCGGAAUUACUGGGCGUAAAGGGCGCGUAGGCGGCCCGCUAAGUCGAACGUGAAAUCCCCGAGCUCAACUCGGGAACUGCGUCCGAUACUGGCGGGCUUGAAUCCGGGAGAGGGAUGCGGAAUUCCAGGUGUAGCGGUGAAAUGCGUAGAUAUCUGGAGGAACACCGGUGGCGAAGGCGGCAUCCUGGACCGGCAUUGACGCUGAGGCGCGAAAGCGUGGGGGAGCAAACGGGG
rnacentral:rRNA from 1 species